rnacentral:lncRNA from 1 species
UGUAAACAUUUUCAUAUGACAACCAAGCUCAACCUGUACAUAAACAUAAACAUAACAUAAACCUCCACUGGAGCCCUCAUCAAAUGCUCCAAUGGGGUAUCUCAUCAUACAUAAGCUUGGUUGAAACAUAACCUCAUAUCUCAUAUCAUAAAGACCAUGUACAUACAAGUGGGAUUAACAAUCUGUAUUGGUCAAGCACAACUCUAUCCUCAAUAUUCAAAUUACAUAACAUAACUUAAAACUCUUUUACAUUACAUCAUAAUACAAUUUUCAUGUCCACAAUCUAACUAUUACAUAACAUCACUUCAUACUCUGGCUAACCUCCUGGUCUACCCUGUACCUGCACAUCUGGGGUUAGGGGAGAGGGGUGAGCUAUAAAGCCCAGUGAGCAGAAUAGAGAAAAACAUAUAUUAAAUAUUUCAUGCUUCCAUGAAAUGCAACACAACACAAACAUAUCACAUAAGAAUGGUAU